rnacentral:rRNA from 1 species
AUAAGGAGUCGGACCUGCCCAGUGAAUAGUUUUUUAACGGCCGCGGUACUCUGACCGUGCAAAGGUAGCAUAAUCAUUUGCCCUAUAAUUGAGGGCUAGUAUGAAUGGUUUGACAAGAGUAUAACUGUCUCUUUAUGAUUAUACAGAAUUUUAUUUUUAGGUGAAGAAGCCUAAAUAUAAUUAAAAGACAAGAAGACCCUAUCGAGCUUUAGAUAAAUUAGUAAAUUAAAUAAAAUAUUAAUUAAUAAAAUAAUAUUUUCUAAAAACUUUAGUUGGGGCGACAAAGGAACAGAGAAAGCUUCCUUCAUUAAUUAUAACUAGCUAGUAUUGAUCCAAAAAUUUUGAUUAAUGGAAUUAGUUACCGUAGGGAUAACAGCAUUAUCUUUUUUAAGAGCUCAUAUCGAAAAAAAGGUUUGUGACCUCGAUGUUGGACCAGAAUAUCCUAAAGAUGCAGAAGUCUUUAAGGGUUGGUCUGUUCGACCAUUAAAAUUCUA